UUGAUGCAGCAAAAAAUGAUUAUUCUGGUUUACAUGCAAUUUACAUGUGUUCAAUCUGACAACGUUGGCGUGCGACAUUUUCCGUUGUUAACUGGAAGUCAUUAUGUUGCUCUUACAAUUUUUCUGAUUUUUAAUAGAAAAAGUAAUUUUUCUGUACAUUGUUUAAGUGUAUUCUGUUCCUUAGGGCUUGUGUAACCUCAUGAAAAUGAGUGUUAUUAAUAAUACACACAUAAAAGAAGAGACUUGGAAUUCAGAUGUUUGGCCAUCAUUCUGGUUCACGAGACUGGUUUUCCAUUAUCUGAUUAAAAAUUUUGUACAACAAAUCGAUGGAAGUAUACAUAGUUCCAAGGCAGUGCAUUUAUAUGUUUCACGAAUCUUACCAACAAUGCAUCAGGACUUAUAAGUAUAUCUAAAAUUUUAUUUCGUUUGGGGUAAAUAUAUUUAUACUGGUUUUUAAUGUUCAUCGGUGGAUUUCAUCAUUUUUAAAUUUAAUUAAGUAGGAAAAAAAUUCAAAUGAGUCUCUGAGUUACAUUUCUAUGGUUCCUUGUUAUCAUAGACAAAUUCAGACCAUCUAUUUUUCAUUUUGGUCACUUUCUGUCUUUUGGUCACUUCCUAUAUUUUCGGUAGAAUGUCAUCUACUUACAAUUUUACUUCCAGUUGUUUUAAUUUAUUUUUAUUUCUUUAUAAUAGCUUGACUCCCAUAUAUUUUUAUUUUUGAUUGUGGGAAUAAUAUCAUCAUUGAUCAGUUCUUUAAAUAUUUCAUUGGCUGUAUUACUAUAAGUCUUAUUUGUUUGGGAAAAUACCUUCUAACUUAGAAUUUUACUUCAUUCUGGUCAAUCAAUCUUCAAUUUUACUCCAUAUUUCCUGCAUUGUGGAAAUAAUAAAAUCAAUAAUUCUAUGUAAUAUCCGAUUGACUGUAUUUCUAUACAGUUUCUAUUUCUGUAAGUCUUCUUUUAUUUGUAUUUUUCGUGUAGAGUCAUUUUUCUAAUACUUUUUGCUUGUGUUGUUCCUUGUACAGACUUUUAAUUUUGAUGAAUUCAUUUUCAUGUCAUUUUUUUCACAUAAUAUGUCAUGAAUUGCAGUAUUUUACAGAUUCUAUUGGUUCGGUUUGCUUGUAUUUAAAUUCACUUAAAAAUCCCAUUAUUAAAGACUAAUUUCUUUUUUAAUUUCAUCAAUUCCUAGCGCAUUCACCAUUUAUUUAAAACCCCUGACUUUCACAUAAUGUGACUUCUAGCUUUUCUAGCCUAUUUUCCAAUUAAUUUUCCCGAGUAACAUCGACUCCAGAGCAUCAUAACUAGCCUCCUCCAAGAGGAGGAGACCCGGGUCACCCCCUAACCCUGAUGUUCGGGCAUCGAUGACCUGUGUAGCAUGCAGAGGUACCCAAGGGAGUCACCACCCUCUGGUUUACGAGCUAGGUGUUCUAACGCUAGAGGCUUCGGCCGGAUA